rnacentral:rRNA from 1 species
CCUACGGGAGGCAGCAGUAAGGAAUAUUGGUCAAUGGACGCAAGUCUGAACCAGCCAUGCCGCGUGAAGGAUGAAGGCCCUCUGGGUUGUAAACUUCUUUUACAGGGGACGAAAAACGGGCAUUCUUGCUCACUUGACGGUACCCUGGGAAUAAGCACCGGCUAACUCCGUGCCAGCAGCCGCGGUAAUACGGAGGGUGCAAGCGUUAUCCGGAUUCACUGGGUUUAAAGGGUGCGUAGGUGGGCUUGUAAGUCAGUGGUGAAAUCUCCAGGCUUAACCUGGAAACUGCCAUUGAUACUAUGGGUCUUGAAUUUUCUGGAGGACAGCGGAAUAUGUCAUGUAGCGGUGAAAUGCUUAGAUAUGACAUAGAACACCGAUUGCGAAGGCAGCUGUCUACGGGGAUAUUGACACUGAGGCACGAAAGCGUGGGGAUCAAACAGGAUUAGAUACCCUGGUAGUCCACGCCCUAAACGAUGGAUACUCGACAUACGCGAUACACAGUGUGUGUCUGAGCGAAAGCAUUAAGUAUCCCACCUGGAAGUACGACCGCAAGGUUGAAACUCAAAGGAAUUGACGGCGNGAGACGAGACGACGACGACGACGAGGGAGGAGG